GAUAGUUACCUAGGUUAGUACCACCUGGGUGUGGGUUGGCGUAAAGGCCGAGCCCGGCAUAGAUUGGCCUUCAGGCCAAGGCCAACAUGAACACCCUCCAUGCAACCAGUAGAGGUUGGUCGCAUGGACCUCCCUGGUGGAUUGGAGGUCUGCCUUUCCUCGCGCCACACUGGUUUAUUGAAGGUAAGUCUUUCUUCAGACCUCCCUGCUUGACUUGAGGUAAGUCUGUCUUCAGACCUCCCUGCUUGAUUUGAGGUCUGCCUUUCCUCGCGCCACACUGGUUUAUUGAAGGUAAGUCUUUCUUCAGACCUUCCUGCUUGAUUUGAGGUCUGCCUUUCCUCGCGCCACACUGGUUUAUUGAAGGUAAGUCUUUCUUCAGACCUUCCUGCUUGAUUUGAGGUAAGUCUUUCUUCAGACCUCCCUGCUUGACUUGAGGUAAGUCUUUCUUCAGACCUUCCUGCUUGAUUUGAGGUAAGUCUUUCUUCAGACCUCCCUGCUUGAUUUGAGGUAAGUCUUUCUUCAGACCUCCCUGCUUGAUUUGAGGUAAGUCUUUCUUCAGACCUCCCUGCUUGAUUUGAGGUAAGUCUUUCU